AACGAACGCUGGCGGCAUGCCUAACACAUGCAAGUCGAACGAUUGCUUUUGGUUGAUAGUGGCUCACGCUUGCGUAACACGUGUGAAUCUGCCCUUAGGUUCGUAAUAACAGGUGGAAACGGCUGCUAAUACCGGAUAAUAUCUCGAGAUCAAAGCUUUAUCGCCUUAAGAUUAGCCCGCGUUUGGUUAGGUUGUUGGUGGGGUAUAUGCUUACCAAGCCGACGAUCCAUAGCUGGUCUGAGAGGAUGAUCAGCACCACUGGGAGUGAGACAAGGACCAGACUCCUAAGGGAGGGAGAAGUGGGGAAUAUGGGACAAUGGGCGCAAGAAUGAUCCAGCCAUGCCGCGUGAGUGAUGAAGGCCAUAGGGUUGUAAAGCUCUUUUACCCGGCAAGAUAAUGACUGUACCAGGAGAAGAAGCCCCGGUUAACUCGGU
rnacentral:rRNA from 1 species